UGUGUGACGUCAUUCCACAGGCAACAUGGCGGAGCGCAGACUAGUCUUGAUUUCUGUGGUGUUACCGCUGGCGGCUGCUUGUGCUUAUGGUUUUGCAGUAACUCGGGGCAAGCUCGCCUGGGUAGCCGUGUUCAUGUUUGCCUUGCUGUGCCUACUGCGAGUCCGGUCUCGUUGUUCCCGUGGUGGGGUACCCUCCGUUUGCGUCCUGGUUUUGGGUGACAUCGGGCGCAGCCCGCGGAUGCAGUACCAUUGCCUGUCUCUCAGCAGACACGGAUACGGCGUCACGCUGCUGGGCUACCGGGUCACAAAGCCACAUCCUGACUUGCUGAAUGAAAAAAACAUCCAGAUCUGUCCCAUUUCAGAGGUGAAAGGCCUCACAGUUGGACCAGCAAUUCUGCGCUACAUCGUAAAAGUUGUACUUCAGUGCCUGCAGUUGUCUUAUGCCCUGCUUAGAGUUGAUGCCCCCCACUUCAUUCUCUUACAGAACCCACCUGGCCUUCCCAGCAUUGCCGUAGCGUGGUUCAUCUGCCUGCUGCGGGCUAGCAAGUUGAUGAUCGACUGGCACAACUAUGGAUACACCAUUAUGGCUCUAAGCCUUGGAGAGAGGAAUCCCAUAGUCCGACUUGCUAAAUGGUAUGAGAAGUUAUUUGGAAGACUUUCUGAUUACAAUUUGUGUGUCACAAAUGCCAUGAAGGAAGAUCUGUCUACAAACUGGAACAUAAAAGCUGUAACCCUUUAUGACAGACCACCAUCUAUAUUUAAAGAGUCCGCCUUGGAGGAUCAGCACCACUUGUACCUGAAACUCUCUAAGGAUUACCCUUCCUUCAGAUCAAGGGAAACAACAGUUGAUGAUACAGGUGAUCAGACAGCCUUUACAGAACAGGACCAAGUGUCUGGACUUGUGACACCUAUUCCUGUUAGGCCUGCUUUACUCAUCAGCAGCACUAGCUGGACAGAGGACGAAGACUUCUCGGUUCUCUUAGAAGCACUGGAAGAGUAUGAAGAUUUCAUUAAAGAAGGAGCGAAACUGCCCGACUUAGUCUGUGUCAUCACAGGUAAAGGACCACUUAAACAGCACUACUGUAAGUUGAUUGCACAGAAGCAGCUUCAACAUGUACAGAUCUGCACGCCAUGGCUAGAGGCAGAGGAUUAUCCGGUGCUUUUGGGCUCAGCCGACCUUGGCGUUUGUCUGCACAAGUCAUCCAGUGGCCUAGAUCUGCCUAUGAAAGUAGUGGAUAUGUUUGGCUGCAAUUUGCCUGUCUGUGCUGUGCAUUUUCAGUGUUUACGCGAGCUUGUGAAGCAUGGAGAAAAUGGAUUAGUAUUUAAGGACUCCAAACAGCUGGCAGAGCAGCUCAAGUCUCUACUGGUUGAUUUCACCAAUCCUAAUGGCCAGCUACACACAUUCAGGACGAACCUACGGCUUUCAAAGCAGCUACGCUGGGACCAGAGCUGGGAGGAGACUGUACUUCCAAUUUUGAAAGCAACCCCAUAGGUGAAGGAAUCCUGGAAAAGCUUGAUUAGGUGUUUUGAUGGAAGAGGGAGACACUCGAGAGGACAGGCAUCCAGCUGUUGUUGUCUUCUCUCUGGUUGUGCAAAGCCACUUCAGGAAGAGCUACAAGGGGGAAGCUGAACUGGAACUGGAAUGUCUGUAAUUCUCACAAAUGAGGAAGAAGGGUUAUCCCUACAAGAAAAGAAGGAACGCAAGACUUUCUGCAAAGACUGCGUAAACAGAGGAGCGGCUCAGUGAACUUCUCAACCAACGAGAGCUUGACUGAGACUGUGGCCGAAUUCGGCGUAUCCGGUAAGUUCCUGUUUAGUGUCUCGGCUAAGCACUGAAGUCGUCGCUGAACGUCUGUCAAAAUGAGGCAAUGUUGCGAGACUUUUGUGGCGUAGUAGGACACUUUGAACUGUAAUGAAAAAGCUGUAUGAGUGGGAAUCGUCCGAUCGGUUCACUCCCAGUGAUUCCAAGUCAAAUAGUUCAACACCCUCAGAGGUGACAAGAUUCAGCAGUUGGCCCUCUGGCUCUCAUUCAUUUCAAUGCCAGUAGCCUGACACCAACUUUACUACGCUGAGGAUUUAGCCCUGAAUUUGUUUAGUGGUCGUUUCAUCUCUCCAACGUGCAGACCUUUUCACUCCUCACUGCAUUUCACAGCUUACGCAAUGUUGUUGCUCAAAAAUGAUCGAACUCUGUCGAUACUAUCCACCACGAAAUAUUAAAAGUCAAAAUAACAGAAUACAAUAACACUGUCCGUCUUGAGAGACGCUGCU